rnacentral:tRNA from 1 species
GGUGGCUCAGUGAUAGAGCGCUUGCUUUGCAUGCAAGAGGCCCUGGGUUCAAUUCCUUAGCACCA